rnacentral:rRNA from 1 species
UACGAAGGGGGCUAGCGUUGCUCGGAAUCACUGGGCGUAAAGGGUGCGUAGGCGGGUCUUUAAGUCAGGGGUGAAAUCCUGGAGCUCAACUCCAGAACUGCCUUUGAUACUGAAGAUCUUGAGUUCGGGAGAGGUGAGUGGAACUGCGAGUGUAGAGGUGAAAUUCGUAGAUAUCUGGAGGAACACCGGUGGCGAAGGCGGCAUCCUGGACCGGCACUGACGCUGAGGAGCGAAAGCCAGGGGAGCAAACGGG